rnacentral:rRNA from 1 species
UUUAUGGAGAGUUUGAUCCUGGCUCAGAGUGAACGCUGGCGGCGUGCCUAAUACAUGCAAGUCGAACGAUGAAGCUUCUAGCUUGCUAGAGUGCUGAUUAGUGGCGCACGGGUGAGUAACGCAUAGGUCAUGUGCCUCUUAGUUUGGGAUAGCCAUUGGAAACGAUGAUUAAUACCAGAUACUCCCUACGGGGGAAAGAUUUAUCGCUAAGAGAUCAGCCUAUGUCCUAUCAGCUUGUUGGUAAGGUAAUGGCUUACCAAGGCUAUGACGGGUAUCCGGCCUGAGAGGGUGAACGGACACACUGGAACUGAGACACGGUCCAGACUCCUACGGGAGGCAGCAGUAGGGAAUAUUGCUCAAUGGGGGAAACCCUGAAGCAGCAACGCCGCGUGGAGGAUGAAGGUUUUAGGAUUGUAAACUCCUUUUGUUAGAGAAGAUAAUGACGGUAUCUAACGAAUAAGCACCGGCUAACUCCGUGCCAGCAGCCGCGGUAAUACGGAGGGUGCAAGCGUUACUCGGAAUCACUGGGCGUAAAGAGCGCGUAGGCGGGAUAGUCAGUCAGGUGUGAAAUCCUAUGGCUUAACCAUAGAACUGCAUUUGAAACUACUAUUCUAGAGUGUGGGAGAGGUAGGUGGAAUUCUUGGUGUAGGGGUAAAAUCCGUAGAGAUCAAGAGGAAUACUCAUUGCGAAGGCGACCUGCUGGAACAUUACUGACGCUGAUUGCGCGAAAGCGUGGGGAGCAAACAGGAUUAGAUACCCUGGUAGUCCACGCCCUAAACGAUGGAUGCUAGUUGUUGGAGGGCUUAGUCUCUCCAGUAAUGCAGCUAACGCAUUAAGCAUCCCGCCUGGGGAGUACGGUCGCAAGAUUAAAACUCAAAGGAAUAGACGGGGACCCGCACAAGCGGUGGAGCAUGUGGUUUAAUUCGAAGAUACACGAAGAACCUUACCUAGGCUUGACAUUGAGAGAAUCCGCUAGAAAUAGUGGAGUGUCUAGCUUGCUAGACCUUGAAAACAGGUGCUGCACGGCUGUCGUCAGCUCGUGUCGUGAGAUGUUGGGUUAAGUCCCGCAACGAGCGCAACCCCCUUUCUUAGUUGCUAACAGGUCAUGCUGAGAACUCUAAGGAUACUGCCUCCGUAAGGAGGAGGAAGGUGGGGACGACGUCAAGUCAUCAUGGCCCUUACGCCUAGGGCUACACACGUGCUACAAUGGGGUGCACAAAGAGAAGCAAUACUGCGAAGUGGAGCCAAUCUUCAAAACGCCUCUCAGUUCGGAUUGUAGGCUGCAACUCGCCUGCAUGAAGCUGGAAUCGCUAGUAAUCGCAAAUCAGCCAUGUUGCGGUGAAUACGUUCCCGGGUCUUGUACUCACCGCCCGUCACACCAUGGGAGUUGUGUUUGCCUUAAGUCAGGAUGCUAAAUUAGCUACUGCCCACGGCACACACAGCGACUGGGGUGAAGUCGUAACAAGGUAACCGUAGGUGAACCUGCGGUUGGAUCACCUCCUUUCUAGA